rnacentral:rRNA from 1 species
CCUACGGGUGACAGCAGUGAGGAAUAUUGGUCAAUGGGCGCGAGCCUGAACCAGCCAAGUCGCGUGAGGGAAGACGGUCCUAUGGAUUGUAAACCUCUUUUGUCGGGGAGCAAAAGACGCCACGCGUGGCGUUCCGAGAGUACCCGAAGAAAAAGCAUCGGCUAACUCCGUGCCAGCAGCCGCGGUAAUACGGAGGAUGCGAGCGUUAUCCGGAUUUAUUGGGUUUAAAGGGUGCGCAGGCGGAGGUGCAAGUCAGCGGUCAAAUUGCGGGGCUCAACCCCGUACUGCCGUUGAAACUGCAUCCCUUGAGUGCGCGAGAAGUAUGCGGAAUGCGUGGUGUAGCGGUGAAAUGCUUAGAUAUCACGAAGAACUCCGAUUGCGAAGGCAGUUCACUGGACUGCAACUGACACUGAGGCUCGAAAGUGUGGGUAUCAAACAGGAUUAGAUACCCCAGUAGUC